UACGUAGGGUGCGAGCGUUAAUCGGAAUUACUGGGCGUAAAGCGUGCGCAGGCGGUUUUGUAAGCCAGAUGUGAAAUCCCCGGGCUUAACCUGGGAAUGGCAUUUGGGACUGCAAGGCUCGAGUGCGGCAGAGGAGACUGGAAUUCCUGGUGUAGCAGUGAAAUGCGUAGAUAUCAGGAGGAACACCGAUGGCGAAGGCAGGUCUCUGGGCUGACACUGACGCUGAGGAGCGAAAGCCAGGGGAGCAAACGGG
rnacentral:rRNA from 1 species